GGGUCAGUAGGUUGGUCGUGCCACCGGUACGUACUGGUCUCACUGAUUCCUCCUUCCUGAAGAACCGUAAUGCCAUUAAUUUGGUGUUGCGGGGAAACAGGACUGUUACUUUGAAAAAAUUAGAGUGUUUAAAGCAAGCUAACGCUUGAAUACAUUAGCAUGGAAUAAUGAAAUAGGACGAUCGAUCCAAUUUUUUUGGUUUCUAGGAUUGACGUAAUGAUUAAUUGGGGGGUCUGUUGGUUGGUCGUGCCACGGUUACGUAUGGGUAUAUCUGUUUCCUCCUUCCUUAAUAACCUUAAUGCAUUUAUUUUGGUGUUGGGGGUAAACUGUACUUUUAAUUUUAAAAAUUUUUUGUGUUUAAAUCAAGCUAAGGCUUUAAUACAUUAGCAUGGAAUAAUUAAAUAGGACGUUCUUUCAUUUUUUGUUGGUUUCUAGUUUUGACGUAAUGAUUUUUUGGGAUUAGUUGGG
rnacentral:rRNA from 1 species